rnacentral:misc_RNA from 1 species
UUGGAGGGCAAGUCUGGUGCCAGCAGCCGCGGUAAUUCCAGCUCCAAUAGCGUAUAUUAAAGUUGUUGCAGUUAAAAAGCUCGUAGUUGAAUUUUAGGCCUGGCCGGAUGGUCCGUCUUUGGCGAGUACUGUUCUGUCGUCGGGUCUAUCCUUCUGGUGAGCCGGGAUGCCCUUUAUUGGGUGUGUCGGGGAACCAGGACCAUUACCUUGAAAAAAUUAGAGUGUUUAAAGCGGGCAUUUGCUUGAAUAGAUUAGCAUGGAAUAAUAGAAUAGGACGUUGGUUCUAUUUUGUUGGUUUUAGGACCACCGUAAUGAUUAAUAGGGAUAGUUGGG